GAUGAAGAGGUAAACUUGAAAUUUGGAGUGAUAAAUGACAGCUGCAAUGUUAUGCCAACUUGAUUUAGCAUAAAAGUUAUUUCUGUAUUUUGAUUGCUCAGCAUCAAGAUCAUCUGGAUCCACAUAGGUGCUGGUGAUUCAGCAGAGAGCAAGAGAGGACAAGUCCCUGCUCUCCGAGUUAUAUUCUAUAAGGCGGCAGGGACUAUUUUGAUAGGAGCCUUCAGGGAAGCCCUCACAGUAAGGCGAUCAGAAUUAAGUAAGGAACUGAACCACAGGAAUAUCUGGGGGAAGAGUUUUCCAAAUGGAACAGCAACAGAAGGGCUUUAAAAUCCCCAUAGGCUGCACCAGAAUGUAAUGGACAGCAGGGGACCUGUACCUCAGCUACUGCUUCUGUGCCUGUGAGUACCCACUGGAAACACUUGCAAAAGGCCUAUUUGCAUGUGAUCGGGUCAGUCACCCUUGCUUGAGUGGCAUGUGGUAAGUUGCAGUCAAGUACUGCUGAUCUGGUAACCCUCUUUCUCCAUUACAUCAAUGUGCAUGUCUAUCUUUAUCCUGAUCUAGUAUGUGCUAACAUUACUGUUUGACAUUGCAGUUUGAUGGCAUUUUCUUUCCUUCCAAUUUCCCAAACCUCAUCGUGGGCCCCAAGUCCUGUCAGCUCACACGAGAGGGUUUGUUGACAAACAAAGGAUCCCCCCCCCCACCCCCCAGGGAUCCUCAGACAAACCUGAUGAUGAAAAACAAAACAAAACAAAACCAAUAAUACGGCCAAGUAGCGGGGUCAGGAUGAGAGACACUUAAGGCAAGCCUGGUGACUUUUUUUUUACACCCACACACAAUAGCAGAAGAGGGAUAAAGUCUUCCGGAAUUGGAUUAGACUUUGUUGGCAAAACUUGGAGUCAUGCUUCCUGUUUUCUAAUGCUUGCUCUUGAAACAGUUGCUUGAACAGCAUUGAAUUCUCUUUCUAAACAGGGCCUUUCUGCACUCUCCACGUGUCCCUGUAAGCAAGCACCCUCCCCUCCAGUCUCCAACACACCCUCUCUACAGAACCGCAGCUGCUCUGAGUGUGGGUCCAACCAAUGACAAUGGCACUGUGUUGAGGCCAUCGGUGGUGCAUCGCACUUCUGCACAAAGCCGCAGUAAGAGGAGGCAAGGGUUUACUCUUUCUGAUCCCAUUUUAAAACAACUUUGUGUGUGGAUUCAUUAAACUCACAAAUGGCACAGCAGGAAAAAUACUCAAAGCCCAACACCGUGCCUUAAACAGAGAAGGCUUUCAUAUAUGUUUCUUGAAUGAGUAAGUGAUGAAGGAGUCUGAGAACCAGAAAAACUGGUGCUUGUCCAGGCUCUGCCAACACUUGGCUGUGUUACCUCCGUGGUCUCUUUUUCUCUUUGGGCUUUAGGUUCCUCAUCUCUAAAGUGAGGAUUGGACAAUAUGACCUUUGAAGUGCCACCUAGCUCCAUCAGCUUCUCACAAUUAGAUAAUUAGCACCUUUCAGGAGGCCAGACUGGAAGGGGUUAAAAGUAUGGCCUUCAGGGGUGCCUGGGUGGCUCAGUGGGUUAAGCAUCCGACUUCGGCUCAGGUUAUGAUCCUUGCAGUCCGCGUGUUUGAGCCCCAGGUCGGGCUCUGUGCUGACAGCUCAGAGCCUGGAACCUGCUUUGGACUGUGUCUCCCUCUCUCUCUGCGCCUCCCCCACUGGCUCGCGCGUGCACACUCUCUCUCUCAAAAAUAAAUAAAC